CCACUACGCCUCCCCAGCCCCUCGUUUGAGCUCAAGGAGCUCUCCUGCCCUCCCCUGCCCGCCAUGGCCGCCGUUCGGCUCCGCUCAAAUUCGAGCGAGUCAACGCCCAUCCCUCCACCUCUCCAUCCCCAGAAGCACGCCCAGACCCUGGCGAAUCUCUCCCUCUCCUCUUUUCCUCGCCGGAGCUACCGUGGCCACGCGCCCAAGUCCCGGCCGCCGCCUUCGUCCUCGGCCGCAGCUAGCGCCCUCGUCCCGCUCCAUCCUGGCGCUGCUGCGGGGUCCAGGAGGAUGCAGCACUUCUCCCCGCUCUCGCCGGUGUCUUCACUCCAGCGGGAGGUGGCCGGAGUUGGCCGGGCCGGCGCUGGCCUCGCUGCUGCCUCGCCCCUCCUCUGCUCUGCAUGCGCGUCGGGGAUGAGACGGAGAAGGAGGGAGGAGAGAGAAGGAUAAGGCGGGCCCCCCAUGUCCUCCUCUGCCCGUUGACCCGCCCGUUCCACAUGGAUAAGUGACGGGACCCACCCGCGUGGGACCCGCCCAUCAGUGACCCUGGAGCCCGGCCCCGCCCCUGCUGACUGGAUUAAGUGGAGGCGUAAACACUUGAGGACCUGUUUGCCAAGAAAUAUUCACAGAUUGGUCCUUCUUCUUCCACACCUUAUAACUCCGCAACCGUAACUCCGAAUGAGCCCCUUCCGAGAGAGUUCUGUUUGCCGCGAUUCGUUCCGUGAGCUUCUCACACUUUCUCCCGGUGAUUUCUUCCACCCCAGGCAAGCCACACCCUCCAUUUGCAUGAUU